GAGUGUACCGUAGCAUGUGAAAUUAGCGGACAUGGCAGCUUCAGUGGUUCAGCCAUAUAUGUUCGAACCUGAAUCGGAUCCUGAAGAAGGAGAGGAGGCUCCUGCAGAUCCUCAGACUCCAAGAAUUCAGCAGGAUGCUUCUGAAUGGUGCACAUGUGGAAAUUGUGCCACAAUGCAGUCAGAGCCAGAGAACGUAUGCUGUCAGGAGGUGCCUCAGGUUACAAGACGGCAGGAACAGCUGGAUGAAAGGCCUCCCUGUAUGAUAGACCAUCCAGGUGUAGAACCGGUUUGUCUAAAUGUGUUCUCGCUGCAGAACACAUUCAACAUUUACAGAGCUGACGACGGUCCUUUGCGACUACGGGGGAUAGUGCAUCGUUACAGGUAUUUAGCCUAUAGACAUUUUGUGAGCUGGUGCUGGGGCUUCCUUGGGCGGAAGAUACGGGUUGUUAUCCCAUCAUGCGUUGUUCUUCGUAUACACCGGGAGUUUCCUGACGCCCAUGGAAGAUAAGGAAGCUUCAAACCACCCUCCCUUGAUUGAAUCUGGAGACGUAGCUGGCGAUGACCUCCACCUUGUCUGGAUGCUCAUAUUCUGAAGACAGUUCCGGCGGGAUGUUUAUCUUCAGAAUCUCUGCUCUGUACGAUGCUGGGUCGACAAAGACCUUCUCCAUGAUCAUGUCCAUCAAAUCAUUCACAUACUCUGUGCAACACACACAAAAGGGAAUCACUAGUUACAAGAUUAUUCAACAACUGUUCAUGCAUUGACAUUUUGCACUUUGAAUAUUUGGUAUAUUUUCAGGUAUUUAUGUGCAUAUGGUAUUUAUGAGUUUGUCUCAUGUACUUUGUCUCAUGUUCAAUAUAAAUGUUUAUUUUCUGAGUAAAAUUAAAAGUUGACACUUA